GGUAAUUCCAGCUCCAAUAGCGUAUAUUAAAGUUGUUGUGGUUAAAAAGCUCGUAGUUGAACCUUGGGCCUGGCUGGCCGGUCCCCCUCACCGGGUGCACUGAUCCAGCCGGGCCUUUCCCUCUGUGGAACCCCAUGGCCUUCACUGGCUGUGGCGGGGGAACAGGACUUUUACUUUGUAAAAAUUAGAGUGCUCCAGGCAGGCCUAUGCUCGAAUACAUUAGCAUGGAAUAAUAGAAUAGGACGUGUGGUUCUAUUUUGUUGGUUUCUAGGACCGCCGUAAUGAUUAAUAGGGACAGUCGGGGGCAUCAGUAUUCAAUUGUCAGAGGUGAAAUUCUUGGAUCUAUUGAAGACUAACUACUGCGAAAGCAUUUGCCAAGGAUGUUUUCAUUGAUAAGGAACGAAAGUUAGGGGAUCGAAGACGAUCAGAUACCGUCGUAGUCUUAACUAUAAACUAUGCCGACUAGGGAUCGGACGAUGUUAUUCUUUGACGCGUUCGGCACCUUUCGAGA
rnacentral:rRNA from 1 species